UACGAAGGGGGCUAGCGUUGCUCGGAAUUACUGGGCGUAAAGGGAGCGUAGGCGGACAGUUAAGUCAGUGGUGAAAGCCCCAGGGCUCAACCCUGGAAUUGCCUUUGAUACUGAUUGUCUUGAGUAUGGGAGAGGUAUGCGGAACUCCGAGUGUAGAGGUGAAAUUCGUAGAUAUUCGGAAGAACACCAGUGGCGAAGGCGGCAUACUGGCCCAUUACUGACGCUGAAGCUCGAAAGCGUGGGAGCAAACAGG
rnacentral:rRNA from 1 species